GACGAACGCUGGCGGCGUGCCUAAUACAUGCAAGUCGAACGCAGUGGGGACGGGUGAGUAACCCGUGGGUAACCUCCCAUCAGAGGGGAUAACAUUUGGAAAAAGGUGCUAAUCCGAUACUGAUGGAUGGACCCGCGGUGCAUUAGCUAGUUGGUGAGGUAACGGCUCACCAAGGCCACGAUGCCUAGCCGACCUGAGAGGGUGAUCGGCCACACUGGGACUGAGACACGGCCCAGACUCCUACGGGAGGCAGCAGUGGGGAAUCUUCGGCAAUGGACGAAAGUCUGACGGAGCAACGCCGCGUGAGUGAAGAAGGUUUUCGGAUCGUAAAACACUGUUGUUGGGGAAGCGUUAUCUAACCAGAAAGCCACGGCUAACUCCGUGCCAGCAGCCGCGGUAAUUC
rnacentral:rRNA from 1 species